GAAUUCGCCCUUAGAGUUUGAUCCUGGCUCAGGGUGAACGCUGGCGGUAUGCCUAAGACAUGCAAGUCGCACGGUCCAGUUUCGGCUGGACAGUGGCGGACGGGUGAGUAACACGUGGGAGACGUGCCCUCAAGCGGGGGAAAACCAGGGGAAACCCUGGCUAAUCCCCCAUGUGGACGCCUGCUCUGGCGGGUGUCUAAAGCUUCGGCGCUUGAGGAUCGGCCCGCGGCGCAUCAGGUAGUUGGUGGGGUAAAGGCCCACCAAGCCGACGACGCGUAGCUGGUCUGAGAGGACGACCAGCCACAGGAGCACUGAGACACGGGCUCCACUCCUACGGGAGGCAGCAGUUAGGAAUCUUCGGCAAUGGGCGAAAGCCUGACCGAGCGAUACCGCUUGAAGGAUGAAGCCCUUCGGGGUGUAAACUUCUGAACUCGGGACGAUGAUGACGGUACCGAGGUAAUAGCACCGGCUAACUCCGUGCCAGCAGCCGCGGUAAUACGGAGGGUGCGAGCGUUACCCGGAUUUACUGGGCGUAAAGGGCGUGUAGGCGGUCCUUCAAGUCCGAUGCUAAAGACUGGGGCUCAACCCCAGGGCUGCGUUGGAUACUGUGGGGCUAGACGGUCGGAGGGGGUAGCGGAAUUUCCGGAGUAAGGGCGAAUUC
rnacentral:rRNA from 1 species